rnacentral:lncRNA from 1 species
GGGGGUAAGUUGAUAAAUUAGAAGUUAAAGGGAUUCUUUAAUUUACAAAUUUGGUUUUUGUUUCCCUAAAUUCCUUCUAUAAAAAGACCAUCUUGCCAAUGAUUAGGGCACAGGAAAAAAGCAUAGAACCACAAACGACUGAAAACCAUUUCUUUCUAAAAGAUUCUUAAGAAAUUUUUGAAUUUCUUUCUAUUUGCUGAGUUAUUUGCUGAGAAUUUUCAGACAUUGGAACAAGGUUUUUGGGUUUGAUUCAAUGUUGGUUUGCUGAGCGGAGUUAGAAUUGCUGGCUGCUUUAUUUUUUUUAAGCUGAUGUUUCCCUUUUCUUGGUAUUUUUCUGAACUUUUGUAUGCUUGGUUUGAGUUGUUUUGAAUGAAAAGUUGAUUUCCUUAGACAUUUGAGAAUGAAUGAAGUUAGAUUGUGUAUUCUUGUAAUGGUUUUGGGAUUUCUAGCCAUAUUUUAAAACCCUAAAUCUGCUUUAGCUUGGCAUUCUGUUAUUUUUUCAGCUAAUUUGUGUAAUGUUUGAAGUGUGUGGAUAUUAAAAAUGGUUUAUUGGACAUCUUUAUCAAUGAAACAUGUAACAUAUGUUGUCUUCUUCUCUUCCUUUUCUUUCUUUAAGAAACAUUUUAUGUUAGUCAUGAAUAGUAUAAAGGCAUCAGGCAGAUUUAGCUGUAGGAUGAAUAUGAAUUCUGGCAUAUUUUUCUUUAUUUGAAACUUUGCAAAUGUGUGUUAAGUUAUUUAUUAUUGGUUAUUUAGCUAUAGUUUGCAGAUCUAGCCACUAAUUGGUUAGAUUGACAAGCUCUAAUGCUAAAAGAAGGGAUUGAAAGUUGCUGAUAAAUGUUUGGUGCUUAAGAUUAAAUCAGACCGUAUAAUUUAUUACGGCAAAUGACUUUGUGUACAUUGGAAGGAUUUAAUUAUCAAGAGUUGUAUUUGAAAUGGCCAAAUUUGUAAAUGUCAGAUUCUAGGUGAUUUCCUUUGAUGUUUCGAAGGCCUAUGGUUUUCUUUUAUGCGUAUUUGUUGUAUUUGGACAGUUACCACAAGCUUGCAUUUUGCAUAAGGAAAUUGGAGUCAAUUUGUUUAACUGGGCUUAGUCAAAUUAGUUAUCAGCCCAGUAAGGGUCUUAGCAAAAAUUAUUUGAGAGUUUGAUACUUUUUUUAGAACAAAUGAGCUUAUUUACCUGACCCAUAUCCUUGUAAAUAGAAGUAUAGAAUGCAUGAUUUCUUUACUAAUUCAUU